CGACCAGAAUGUCCGUCUUUCCAAAAAAACGUACCAUGUUUGAUUUACCAGCACGAUUGUAGUCAUGAUAAAGAAUGUCCCAAAGGUCAAAUAUGUUGUGGUGUCAUUUGCGGAAUAGGAUGUGCAAACCCUGUGCAACCGAAUCCGCCAAAAACCAGGCAGGGGGUUUGUCCAUCAGUUCCAGAAGACGAUCCCAACAUUUGUAAUCUUGUAGAUGUAAGAAAUGACUGCCAAGUUGACUCAGAUUGUACAGAAAGAAAUCAAAAAUGUUGUAGGACACAAUGUGGAGGACGAUCGUGCUCUAAUCCUAUAAAGGGUGAUCGUCCCGGAUGUCCAGUGUGUUUCAACAACCAGCCGGGUCCAGUAUGUCCCGUGUGCUUUCAAUAUCAGCAGCUGUGCAACUCAGACAAGGAUUGUAAACGAGGUCAGCUUUGUUGUUUCAACCCUUCCUGUGGUACAUCAUGUGAAAGGACAUUUGGUCGAUGAAAUUAUCCUGUACUGGUAUCCAAAUGAUCCAAUGAAAAACCUCACAACAUUUAUGAGCUUACGUUUCAUUUAUUCAAUUAUGACUCAACU